rnacentral:tRNA from 1 species
GGGGUUGUAGCUCAGUGGUUGAGCACUAGCCUCACAUGCAUGAGUCACUGGGUUCAACCCUCAGCACCA